rnacentral:rRNA from 1 species
AUUGAACGCUGGCGGCAUGCCUUACACAUGCAAGUCGAACGGCAGCACGGGGCAACCUGGUGGCGAGUGGCGAACGGGUGAGUAAUGCAUCGGAACGUGCCAUUGAGUGGGGGAUAACGUAGCGAAAGUUGCGCUAAUACCGCAUAUUCUGUGAGCAGGAAAGCAGGGGACCGCAAGGCCUUGCGCUCUUUGAGCGGCCGAUGUCAGAUUAGCUAGUUGGUGAGGUAACGGCUUACCAAGGCGACGAUCUGUAGCGGGUCUGAGAGGAUGAUCCGCCACACUGGAACUGAGACACGGUCCAGACUCCUACGGGAGGCAGCAGUGGGGAAUUUUGGACAGUGGGCGCAAGCCUGAUCCAGCCAUGCCGCGUGAGUGAAGAGGGCCUUCGGGUUGUAAAGCUCUUUCGGCCGGGAAGAAAUCGCAUGGGUUAAUACCCUGUGUGGAUGACGGUACCGGAAUAAGAAGCACCGGCUAACUACGUG